AUUGAACGCUGGCGGCAGGCCUAACACAUGCAAGUCGAGCGGAUGAAGGGAGCUUGCUCCUGGAUUCAGCGGCGGACGGGUGAGUAAUGACUAGGAAUCUGCCUUGUAGUUGGGGAUAAGGUGAGGAAACGGGAGCUAAUACCGUAUCCGUCCUGAGGUAGAACGUGGGGGAUCUUUGGACCUCACGCUAGCAGUGGAGCCGAGGUCGGUUUAGCCAGUUGGUGGGGUAAAGGCCUACCAAGGCGACGAUCCGUAACUGGUCUGAGAGGAUGAUCAGUCACACUUGAACUUACACACGUUCCAUACUCCUACGGUAAUCACCAGUGUACACUAUUGGACACUUCGCGAAACCCUAAUCCCGCCAUGCCGCGUGUGUGAGCACGGUCUUCUCAUUGUAAAGCACUUUAAGUUGCCAAGCACAUCCGUAAAUUAAUACCUUGCUAUUUUGACAUUACCAACACAAUAAGCACCGGCUAACUUCAUG
rnacentral:rRNA from 1 species